rnacentral:rRNA from 1 species
UACGGAGGGUGCAAGCGUUAAUCGGAAUUACUGGGCGUAAAGCGCACGCAGGUGGCUGAGUCAGUCGAUUGUGAAAGCCCUGGGCUUAACCUGGGAAUUGCAGUCGAUACUACUCAGCUAGAGUAUGGGAGAGGGUAGUGGAAUUCCCGGUGUAGCGGUGAAAUGCGUAGAGAUGUGGAGGAACACCGAUGGCGAAGGCAGCCCCCUGGGUCAAGAUUGACGCUCAUGCACGAAAGCGUGGGGAGCAAACAGG